GAUGAACGCUGGCGGCGUGCCUAAUACAUGCAAGUCGAGCGAACAGACGAUGAGCUUGCUCCUCUGACGUUAGCGGCGGACGGGUGAGUAACACGUGGAUAACCUACCUAUAAGACUGGGAUAACUUCGGGAAACCGGAGCUAAUACCGGAUAAUAUAUUGAACCGCAUGGUUCAAUAGUGAAUGACGGUUUUGCUGUCACUUAUAGAUGGAUCCGCGCCGCAUUAGCUAGUUGGUAAGGUAACGGCUUACCAAGGCGACGAUGCGUAGCCGACCUGAGAGGGUGAUCGGCCACACUGGAACUGAGACACGGUCCAGACUCCUACGGGAGGCAGCAGUAGGGAAUCUUCCGCAAUGGGCGAAAGCCUGACGGAGCAACAUCGCGUGAGUGAUGAAGGUCUUCGGAUCGUAAAACUCUGUUAUUAGGGAAGAACAAAUGUGUAAGUAACUAUGCACGUCUUGACGGUACCUAAUCAGAAAGCCACGGCUAACUACGUG
rnacentral:rRNA from 1 species